rnacentral:rRNA from 1 species
CAGGUGGUUUCUUAAGUCUGAUGUGAAAGCCCACGGCUCAACCGUGGAGGGUCAUUGGAAACUGGGAGACUUGAGUGCAGAAGAGGAAAGUGGAAUUCCAUGUGUAGCGGUGAAAUGCGUAGAGAUAUGGAGGAACACCAGUGGCGAAGGCGACUUUCUGGUCUGUAACUGACACUGAGGCGCGAAAGCGUGGGGAGCAAACAGGAUUAGAUACCCUGGUAGUCCACGCCGUAAACGAUGAGUGCUAAGUGUUAGA